GUGCUCACUUCAGCAGCACAGUACUAAACUUGGAAGAUUAGUAUGGCCCCUGCGAAAGGAUGACACACAAAUUCGUGAAGCAUUUCAUAUUUAA
ensembl:snRNA U6 U6 spliceosomal RNA